UAGGAAAUUUGAGAGGAGUUGCCCUUAGUACGAGAGGACCGGGGUGAACGUACCUCUGGUGUAUCAGUUGUUCCGCCAGGAGCAUCGCUGAGUAGCUAUGUACGGAUGAGAUAAACGCUGAAAGCAUCUAAGUGUGAAACUCGCCUCGAGAUGAGAUUUCCCAUUCUUUAUGAAGUAAGACCCCUUGUAGAUGACAAGGUAGAUAGGCUAGAAGUGGAAGUGCGGCGACGCAUGGAGCGGACUAGUACUAAUGGUUCGAGGACUUAACCAAGUU
rnacentral:rRNA from 1 species